UACAGAGGGUGCAAGCGUUGUUCGGAAUUAUUGGGCGUAAAGGGUGCGUAGGCGGUGCGGUAAGUCUGUAGUGAAAUCUCUGGGCUCAACUCAGAGUCUGCUAUAGAAACUGCCGUGCUUGAGUGUGGGAGAGGUGAGUGGAAUUCCCGGUGUAGCGGUGAAAUGCGUAGAUAUCUGGAGGAACACCGGUGGCGAAGGCGGCGUUCUGGACUGUAACUGACACUGAACAACGAAAGCCAGGGGAGCAAACGGG
rnacentral:rRNA from 1 species